UUGAAUGCACUUUUUUUUCAGUAGAGAGUUUACAUCCAGAAGGAGCAAAAAAUUGUUAAUUCAAAUAUUUGUUUUUCUCUUUUCAGCUUAAACAAAAUGUAGGAAUUUUUUUUUUAAAUAAUGCGUGUAGUCCACUAAUGUUUUUGGAAAGACAAACCCUCUGGAGAAACAAGACAAAGCCUGUAUCGUGUUCCUGUGAUGUUCCUGCUGACUGACCUGAGGAUUUGGAGCAAGGCACUGAAAAUUCACCAUCAUUACAAUCCAGCACGGGUCCAAGCAGGAUUGGAAACCUGUCAGUAUCUCUGCAUUGGUGGCUCCCUCCAUUUCCAGGUAUACUUGGAGACAAGAGCUGGGCCAGGGACAGCCUGGCCUGAUGACAGCAUUGCAGGGGACUUAGGCUAUUAAUGCCAAUACAUAAAAAUUUAUAAUAAUAUCAAAGAUGGAUUCUUAUUGAGUGAGAAUUACCAAAUGUGUUGAGUCCCAGAGAGAAGUCAGUCAUUCUUGUGUCACCUCCUAAGACCUAAUUCUUAGUAUUAAAGUAAUAUGUGAUCUCAUUUCUGUAUUUCUAAGGGAUGAACAAAAGAUGCCUGUGUUAAACGCAAAACAACAUUUUGGGAAAAGAAGUUACUUCUAGAUGCUUCAAAUCAAUCUGACAGCCCACUGCUUUAAUCUGACACCAGUAGAAUGGCAAUAAUUUGGAAGGUGUCCCAAAUAGAGCCUUGUGAUGAAAUCACCAAGGUUGUGGGUUUAAUCUCCAUAUAGGCCACUCACUUAAUAGUUGGACUUGAUGAUCUUUGUGGAUCCAUGCCAACUUAAAAUAUUCUUUAGUUCUAUGAAAUUUUCUUCUCUAAUUUGCUCUUCCUCUUCAAUAUAUAGUUAAUCCUCUGAAGAUGCUUUUAUAAAAUAUGUUUUUUUUCUGGGUACAAUUCAAUGAGGUGGAAGUACUUAAAAUUUUUGUUUUCAGUGAAAAUGCUAUCAGUUUUAUUUGCAAGAGAGCGCAUGUGCCACAUCUACUCAUUUUUUGAACAUUUCCAGGGAUGGUGACACUUUCUGGUGGAGUCUGUUCCAGUGCUUUCUGUGAUUAAAUUUUUCCUAGUAUUCAACCUGAGUAAUGGGAAACAAACCAGAUGAAAUUAAUAUUAUUUAAAAUUUGUAAAAUAGGUAUCUAUUAGUGGUUUUUCAAACAUGGUUGUGGGGGACACACACACAAACCAGGCUGGGCAUGGCAUCACCCACUGUAGCCACCUGUGGUGACAAAUCCAUCCUGUUUUCAGAAGUCAAGCAGGGCAGAGGGAUGGCGUGAAGAGCUGGAGACAGCAGAGCAUCUCUGGUACUCUCAAGCUGGCUACUGUGCAUCUCCAGCAGCCACCCCUGUGCUCGCUGGGGUGAUCCACAGGGAAGGCACAACGGCAUUUCUCCCAUUUCAGUAUUUUGAUGUUUCCCCCCCAGUUUCCAGCAGUUCCACUUUUCUGCUGCUUUGCCUCUCCAGAGUUUUUGCUGACAGAACAGAAUGCUGGUAGCAAACACAUUAUUCAUUGUGAUUGAACGCCUAGUAAUUACGUUAUAUAUUUUUUUCAUUUCUUAAAUUAAAUCUCUUUGCUAUUAAGAACAGAUGUUAAAUUCGGGAAUGUUGUUGAUUGUUAGUGUGACACACACAUGAAAUAUUUUAAAUGAGAAGGCUGAUUGAAUUUUAAACAUACUGAUCACACUGGUGGAAUUGAAAAUAAUUGAAACUGGGAAUAGCUGAAAUGUUUCCAAGAAGAGGAGACGGAGGUGGGGUUUGCUUUUCAAAUUCCUGAUCACACCAAUCAUGUUAAAUUCUGCAGACUAAAUACAAUUAUUUACUGUAUAUCAUAAUACCAAACAUGAGACUUGCAUGGUUUUUACUUCAAAAUCACAGUAGAAAAGAAUUUAAAAAAUAAGACAAAAUCAGGACUUCAGAUAUUACUCAUGUCCUUGUAGGAGCUUGUCUUUUUUUGUUUGUUUGUUUGUUUCCUCAGCUCAUUCAGUAAAAGCACAUUUCAGGAAAUCUGACAUUACUACCAAGGAAGUAUUGUCCACCAUGCAGGCUGAGCUGGUUCUUGCAAUCCUUUCACCUGCAGAAAGCCCCAGAUCCCUUUCCCAACCUGGAGGACUGAUGGCUUCAUUCUGCAAGGGCUGAUGCUGGAAAGAAGGGAGGAAAUUACUGCAAAGCACCCAAUCACCAAUCUGAACCACUAGGCUGGAUACUGCUCCUCCAGGUGUAUUCUCCUCUUUCUAACCAGAAAAUCCACUGCAAACCUCUGGGUCUGAGCAUCCCUGAUCCCCUGGAGCUGGGGGUAAGUAUAGCUCACUCUGCUCUCAGACUGGUGAAAUCCAAGUAGAUAAAAAGAUCUUUACAUAGACAAGGUGUUUGACAUGCCCUCCAGCCGGAAAAGUGCAGUCAGAAUAUUUCUCAGUGAAAAUGGUUCAGUAAAGAGUGGUUAUUAUUAUAUUAGUGGUUGGACUCGAUGAUCCUAAAUUUCUUUUCCAACCAGGUGAUUUUGUGAUCUUCAGGGUCUAAGCCAAAUUUGCUGACAGUGGUCUCUAAACCAGGCAUGGCUGAGUUGGUGAAGAAAUUGGAGCAGGGAAGUUCUGAGCAAAGCUGGGAGAGUGACACAGAGCUGACCCAAAAUGAUGGCCAAGGCUUCUCUGCUUCAGAAUCAGCCCUAAAUGGUCCCUCUAGGCUGAGCUUUCAGCCUCUCAGCUGCCAUCAUUACACAGUGACUGGACUUGAAAUCAAAGGACAGCUACUGCAAUCCCAUUUGUACCAUCUUUGACUCAUUUGAUCACGUCCAGAGGGCUGUAGAAAUAUAUUAAUAGAUUUUCAUGUUCAGAAGAAGCCAUUCCCCAUGCAACCUCUAUAUAUGUUUCUACAGAAUUCUACAUUCUUUGGAUAUUAUUGUGUUUGACAAAUCUGACAAAAUGGCUAAAACCAAACUGAUCCGAAGAAUUUCCCCUCUCUUUCCUCCCUUUCUCAUGCAGAAGCAUCGCUGUUCCUUCUGCUUUGCAACCCAAGGCAAUUUUUGCAUUUGCAACCCCUACAGAGCUACACAGAGGAUACAUAACAAUACUACACCAUUUGACAAGUUUUCAAAUAGCGUGACCAAAACUUACAUUUAUGUCAGCCUGUAUUAAAUCUUGUCUGCACCUUUUUUAGCUGCUAUGACUUUGAACUUCAACAAGAAACAGAAACACGCAUCCUGUAGAGAUGAUGCACAUAAAUAAAACUUUGCUUAAACAU